rnacentral:tRNA from 1 species
CGCGGGAUGGAGCAGCCCGGUAGCUCGUCAGGCUCAUAACCUGAAGGUCGGUGGUUCAAAUCCACCUCCCGCACCCA